AGUGAACGCUGGCGGCGUGCUUAACACGUGCAAGUCGAACGAGUAAGUGCUGUAGCAAUACAGAUUACUGCUAGUGGCAGACGGGUGAGUAAUACAUGGGAAUCUUCCUUGGAGUCUGGGAUAACUGUUGGAAACGACAGCUAAUACCGGAUAUUGCCGAGAGGUGAAAGAAUUUCGCCCCAAGAUGAGCCCAUGCAAGAUUAGCUAGUUGGUAGGGUAAUGGCCUACCAAGGCGAAGAUCUUUAGCUGGUCUGAGAGGAUGAUCAGCCACACUGGAACUGAGACACGGUCCAGACUCCUACGGGAGGCAGCAGUGGGGAAUAUUGGACAAUGGGCGAAAGCCUGAUCCAGCGACGCCGCGUGGGUGAUGAAGGCCUUCGGGUUGUAAAGCCCUUUCGUCAGGGAAGAUAAUGACGGUACCUGAAGAAGAAGCUCCGGCUAACUUCGUGCCAGCAGCCGCAGUAA
rnacentral:rRNA from 1 species